UCUCAGGCGGCGUUGCCGGCAGUUUUUGGCUGGCAGCUGCGGGCAACUCGCUAAAAAUCCCAGACUAGUUGGGAGGCUGUCCCAGGCCUUCGGCCUGGCCAAGGGGGAUUUUCGGGGAUUUUUCAAAAAUUCCCCAAGGCUUCCAGGGCAUUUUCCCUGCGGGGCAUCGGGGCGCCACUUGGCAACAGGACGCCGAUUGACAGGCCGCCAAUCUUUGAAAGGUGGAAAAGCGGGUGUCAAGGGGGGCCCCAAUUUGGCCCCCCAGCAAGAGCCCGGGGGCGCCAGCCCCCGCGAGGGGCCUCCAGAAGCCCCCACUGCGUCCUCGACCAGAUUUGAAGCUCCAGGCCCACUUGAGCGCGUUAAACGCACAGCACUGAUAACGGAGACAAACAAACAACAUCAGCCGGGAACCGCGUUUAUGUUCAAAAGGUAUUCGAUGGGUGCAUUAUUCGAUCGGGGCCUUGAGUCACCUGCUGGGGCUCAGCGCCCCUCAUUCAGUCCGCUCAGGUCCUGCUUAUUGUAGGCUUCCAUCAUGAAGGCGUCCGGCGUGUCCACCAUGAAUUCGUUGGCGGGUUGAGGGGCUGCGCCCGCCUCCCUACGCACCCUCCUGCCCCUGAUCCGGAAGCUCCUGGCUGGCUCAGGGGCUGGCAGCAGGCGCUGCGGCUGGGCAGCUUCUGGCACCUCCUGCACGUUGGCAGGACUCGGCCCGGCUGGCUGCGGAUUUUGCGACAUGCUGAUGACUGACUGGUAUGGAUUAACCGGCCUGCGGCCUGAGACUGGGCUGUUUUCGUUGCGAUAAGAUAACAGCUAAGAUGGCGCCACCGCAAGAGCGCCAGCAAACGCACACCAAACGAAAAAUCGCCCGGAAAAAUACACAGACAAACAUCAGCUCUAUUUGUUUAUUUUAAUUGGAAAAUGCGGCGAUUUGAUGUGGUUGUUGUUGCUGUUGUGGACAAAUCGCUGAUUCGAUUUGCGUGGUUGCCAAAUAGAAAAUCCCGAUAAAAAAUCACUCAAUCGCGAUUUCAUUUGGACGGUUUUUUGAACUGUGAAAAUUCGAUUUUCUCGGUUAAGUGAUUCUCCAUGCCACUUUGGAAAUUUGGCAACAACGGCGCCGUGGGUGUUUGGGUGUGCAUUGUUUGAAAGCCAUCGCAUUUCUAUAGAAAUCUUUAUUCAUCAAUUAACCAGUACACCAGAUUUAACAACAAACAUUCAGAUAAACGUUUAGUUUCUAAAUAUUGACGAAGUGUUUUCCAUAAUAUUCGUUUUCUAAAUUUUUUUCAAGGGGGUUUAGGAAUAGUGUUAUUCGUUUUUCGUUAUUUGAGCCAUUUACAGUCUUAACAUCUACGGAAAAUCCCCUGUACAUCAAUUAGUUUGCGAGCGAGCGGUGAGAUGUCGCUGAAAGGGACACGGAAUGUCAUCGGUUGACGUGUGACAGACUCCUAGCAACGCCCCUGGCAACCCAAGCCAAACAACCGAGGUUGCUAGGUGAACCUAGACCCCGCCCCUUUCCACGCUGCUCACGCCCCCUAGCGGCAAAGGAAUACAACCAUGUAAUAGUCUUUACAUAUAUACAUCGAUCACAUCUGUGUAUACACCCUAAGGCUAUUUUUUUACAAUGUGGGGAACAUUUACGAUAG